UACGUAGGGUCCGAGCGUUGUCCGGAAUUACUGGGCGUAAAGAGCUCGUAGGUGGUUUGUCGCGUUGUCCGUGAAAACUCACAGCUCAACUGUGGGCGUGCGGGCGAUACGGGCAGACUGGAGUACUGCGAGGGGAGACUGGAAUUCCUGGUGUAGCGGUGGAAUGCGCAGAUAUCAGGAGGAACACCGGUGGCGAAGGCGGGUCUCUGGGCAGUAACUGACGCUGGAGGAGCGAAAGCCGUGGGGAGCGAACAGG
rnacentral:rRNA from 1 species